rnacentral:rRNA from 1 species
AACGGACGAGAAGCUUGCUUCUCUGAUGUUAGCGGCGGACGGGUGAGUAACACGUGGAUAACCUACCUAUAAGACUGGGAUAACUUCGGGAAACCGGAGCUAAUACCGGAUAAUAUUUUGAACCGCAUGGUUCAAAAGUGAAAGACGGUCUUGCUGUCACUUAUAGAUGGAUCCGCGCUGCAUUAGCUAGUUGGUAAGGUAACGGCUUACCAAGGCAACGAUGCAUAGCCGACCUGAGAGGGUGAUCGGCCACACUGGAACUGAGACACGGUCCAGACUCCUACGGGAGGCAGCAGUAGGGAAUCUUCCGCAAUGGGCGAAAGCCUGACGGAGCAACGCCGCGUGAGUGAUGAAGGUCUUCGGAUCGUAAAACUCUGUUAUUAGGGAAGAACAUAUGUGUAAGUAACUGUGCACAUCUUGACGGUACCUAAUCAGAAAGCCACGGUAACUACGUGCCAGCAGCCGCGGUAAUACGUAGGUGGCAAGCGUUAUCCGGAAUUAUUGGGCGUAAAGCGCGCGUAGGCGGUUUUUUAAGUCUGAUGUGAAAGCCCACGGCUGCAACCGUGGAGGGUCAUGUGGAAACUGGAAAACUUGAGUGCAGAAGACGGAAAGUGGAAUUCCAUGUGUACCGGUGAAAUGCGCAGAGAUAUGGAGGAACACCAGUGGCGAAGGCGACUUUCUGGUCUGUAACUGACGCUGAUGUGCGAAAGCGUGGGGAUCAAACAGGAUUAGAUACCCUGGUAGUCCACGCCGUAAACGAUGAGUGCUAAGUGUUAGGGGGUUUCCGCCCCUU